GGCUUUUGACCUUUAUGC
rnacentral:misc_RNA from 1 species